rnacentral:rRNA from 1 species
GAUGAACGCUAGCUACAGGCUUAACACAUGCAAGUCGAGGGGAAACGCCAUCGAAAGCUUGCUUUUGAUGGGCGUCGACCGGCGCACGGGUGAGUAACGCGUAUCCAACCUGCCCAUCACUUGGGAAUAACCUUGCGAAAGUAAGACUAAUACCCAAUGAUAUCCCACGAAGGCAUCGGAAUGGGAUUAAAGAUUUAUCGGUGAUGGAUGGGGAUGCGUCUGAUUAGCUUGUUGGCGGGGUAACGGCCCACCAAGGCAACGAUCAGUAGGGGUUCUGAGAGGAAGGUCCCCCACAUUGGAACUGAGACACGGUCCAAACUCCUACGGGAGGCAGCAGUGAGGAAUAGUGGUCAAUGGGCGAGAGCCUGAACCAGCCAAGUAGCGUGCAGGAAGACGGCCCUAUGGGGUGUAAACUGCUUUUAUAAGGGAAUAAAGUGGGUCACGUGUGACUUUUUGCAUGUACCUUAUGAAUAAGGACCGGCUAAUUCCGU